GACGAACGCUGGCGGCGUGCUUAACACAUGCAAGUCGUACGACAGCAUUCCUUUUGGGGGUGUUUGGAGUGGCGAACGGGUGAGUAACACGUGAGUAACCUGCCCUCUUCUUUGGGAUAACGUGCGGAAACGUGCGCUAAUACUGAAUAUUCUUAUUCUGCUGCAUGGUGGGGUGGGGAAAGGACUGUGGGGUCUUUAGGGGCUUUGUGGUUUGGUGGGGGGUGGCUCGCGGCCUAUCAGCUUUGUUGGUGGGGUGAUGGCCUACCAAGGCGU
rnacentral:rRNA from 1 species